UUGAACGCUGGCGGAAUGCUUUACACAUGCAAGUCGAGCGGCAGCGCGGGGGCAACCCUGGCGGCGAGCGGCGAACGGGUGAGUAAUACAUCGGAACGUACCCAGUUGUGGGGGAUAGCCCGGCGAAAGCCGGAUUAAUACCGCAUAAGUCCUGAGGGAGAAAGCGGGGGACCGUAAGGCCUCGCGCGAUUGGAGCGGCCGAUGUUCGAUUAGCUAGUUGGUGGGGUAAAGGCCUACCAAGGCGACGAUCGAUAGCUGGUCUUAGAGGACGACCAGCCACACUGGAACUGAGACACGGUCCAGACUCCUACGGGAGGCAGCAGUGGGGAAUUUUGGACAAUGGGCGAAAGCCUGAUCCAGCCAUGCCGCGUGCAGGAUGAAGGCCUUCGGGUUGUAAACUGCUUUUGUACGGAACGAAAAGACUCCUUCUAAUAAAGGGGGUUCAUGACGGUACUGUAAGAAUAAGCACCGGCUAACUACGU
rnacentral:rRNA from 1 species